rnacentral:lncRNA from 1 species
AUGACAAAAGGCCAACGGCAGAAAGGCGGAGCUUUUCGAGCCGAGGUGGGGGGAGUUUUUUGCGCUCCACGUGAGCGCCCAGACCGGUGGAAAGGGGAGGGGGUUGGCGACGGGGCCGUGGAGGUAAGUUGGAGUACGGAGUGCGACAGUCUGGUGAGCGAGAUCCGGAGAUUUGGUCGUGGGAGGCGAGGGAAAGGAGAGAAAACGGGACGCUCCCCUGGAAAGGCUGAAGGGCCGAGCCGUGAAGAUUGCCUCUUCAGCCCUCACGGCAUAGCAGUGGAGAGGAAAAAGGAUCUUCAUUUGCUAUAUCCCAUGACCUCUCUUUAUGGAGGAGGGGAAGGAGGCAUUGUAAAGUGAGGAAGAAGAAAAAGAGGAAAACCAGAGAGGCCAUCCCAAGCCGAAGAAGAAAAGGAGGAAGAGAAACUGCUGGAGAUACUUGAAAUGAGGAUUGGGGGACAGGACCCUUUUAAAAAGUCUUGAGAUGCUUUCCAUAUUAAGAGCCAGAAAAGGAUGAGCUUCACAGAACAAGGGAGGCAACAUGAGGAGCAGAAAUAAUUAAAUAGGCUGAUUUGUUUUGGAUUUUGGAUGGGGAGCAAUGAAAGCAGCAGAAAGGGGAAGAAGUGGAAAUAUAUACAUGCACCCACUUUUGUGAGAGAGGAGGCAAUGUAGAAAUCACCAAAAUGUGAAAACAGAAAUACAAAACAAUGAAGGGGUUAAUCAUUAUUUACAUAGGUGCCAUUUUCACUUACAGAGCUAGCUUAGGAUAUUUUGCUGCCUGAGGCAAAGAACAAGAUGGCACCUCUUCUAUUCCACUUAAAAGAAGCUGACCAGGUGGAUCGUCUUUCUGUACUUAAUGAUGGGACUGCAUCCUCCAUGCCUGCUGAUACCAGCAGGCUAACUUAGGUCUGGCUGCUUAGAAUACAUAGUUCUGCCCACUGGAUUGAGAGGGCAGUGGAAUGGUUAGGAGCUAAUGCUGAUACCGCCUUCACUCUACCAUACCUCUACUGCCUGGAUCAGCUGCCUCCAUCUAAUGAUAUAGCCAGCCCUGUCCAUUAUAUUCUCAAUACUGUACCAGGAGAUCUGGGAUCUCUAUAAAUCACAGGUAAUUGACCAGAUAGGCGGGGUAUAAAUAGAAUAAAUAAAUAAAAAUAAAUAAAAUAAUUCCCGUC